UGGUUCUGGCAUCGAUGAAGAACGCAGCAAAAUGCGAUAAGUAAUGUGAAUUGCAGAAUUUAGUGAAUCAUCGAAUCUUUGAACGCACAUUGCGCCCUUUGGUAUUCCAAGGGGCAUGCCUGUUUGAGCGUCAUUACACUUGUUCAGAGGAUGGGGUGCUAGUAGCCCGCAACUCUGGUGUUGGCCCUAAAGCUAGGCAGCUUCUAUGCCAGCAUGUUUUGGUGCCUAAGAUAGACCACAAGAGCUCUCAGGCCUCUGGCGUACCACAAUAUCUCAUAUUACUUGCCAGUUGUGCCUGCAGCAGUGUUCUUGCCCACAAGUCUGCUUGGCAGGAUGCCUAGUGCUCUGCCCAGGGACUAUUUUGACCUCAGAUCAGGUAGGGAUACCCGCUGA
rnacentral:misc_RNA from 1 species